GAAAAAUGUAUGGUAAAUCCUUCUCUUUAAUCACUAAAGGCCCAUAAAACUCAAAAAUACUCCAUAGUGUAGGUGUAAAUUUUAUCAGGUUAUAAAAUCUUACAAACUCGGUUUACAUUCAGUAAAAGAUCCUCGAAGUCAAUGAAAAAGAAGAUUCGAAUUAGAGGGACAUCAGGUAGGUCUUCUAUUGGAAACCAUCUAUAGCCAUC
rnacentral:lncRNA from 1 species